UCCGACUUGACGCCGGCAGUCUCGCUAGAGUCCCCGCCAUGACGCGCUGGCAACUAGCGACAGGGGUUGCGCUCGUUAAGGGACUUAACCCGACACUUCACAGCACGAGCUGACGACAGCCAUGCAGCACCUGUGCACGUUCCACGGUUGCCCGCGUCACUCCUGUUUCCAGGAGCUAAUCCGUGCAUGUCAAGCCCAGGAUAAGGUUCUUCGCGUUGCUUCGAAUUGAGCCACAUGCUCCACCGCUUGUGUGAGCCCCCGUCAAUUCCUUUGAGUUUUAGCCUUGCGACCGUACUCCCCAGGCGGUGCACUUAACGCUUUCGUUUCGACCGAGAGUGGUGUCAGAACCCCCCCGAUCUAGUGCACAUCGUUUACGGCGUGGACUAC
rnacentral:misc_RNA from 1 species